rnacentral:rRNA from 1 species
AACGAACGCUGGCGGCAUGCCUAACACAUGCAAGUCGAACGAGACCUUCGGGUCUAGUGGCGCACGGGUGCGUAACGCGUGGGAACCUGCCCUUAGGUUCGGAAUAACUCCCCGAAAGGGGUGCUAAUACCGGAUAAUGUCUUCGGACCAAAGAUUUAUCGCCUUUGGAUGGGCCCGCGUUGGAUUAGCUAGUUGGUAGGGUAAAAGCCUGCCAAGGGGACGAUCCAUAGCUGGUCGGGGAGGAGGAUCAGCCACACUGGGCCUGAGACACGGCCCAGACUCCUACGGGAAACAGCAGUGGAGAGUAUUGUACAAGGGGCGAAAGCCUAAUCCAGCAAUGCCGCGUGAGUGAUGAAGGCCUUAGGGUUGUAAAGCUCUUUUACCCGGGAUGAUAAUGACAGUACCGGGAGAAUAAGCUCCGGCUAACUCCGUG